GACAGAGGGGGCAAGCGUUGCUCGGAAUCACUGGGCGUAAAGGGCGCGUAGGCGGGAUGGCAAGUCGGUCGUGAAAUCCUUCGGCUCAACCGAAGAACGUCGGCCGAUACUGCCGUUCUUGAGGGAUGCAGAGGAGAUUGGAAUUCCCGGUGUAGCGGUGAAAUGUGUAGAGAUCGGGAGGAACACCGGUGGCGAAGGCGGGUCUCUGGACAGGUACUGACACUCAACUACGAAAGCGUGGGGAGCAAACAGG
rnacentral:rRNA from 1 species